UACGGAGGAUGCGAGCGUUAUCCGGAUUUAUUGGGUUUAAAGGGUGCGUAGGCGGCGAGUUAAGUCAGCGGUAAAAGCCCGGGGCUCAACCCCGGCCCGCCGUUGAAACUGGCUGGCUUGAGUUGGGGAAAGGCAGGCGGAAUGCGCGGUGUAGCGGUGAAAUGCAUAGAUAUUAGGAGGAACACCAGUGGCGGAGGCGGCUUACUGGACGGUAACUGACGCUGAGGCUCGAAAGCGUGGGGAGCAAACAGG
rnacentral:rRNA from 1 species